GCCCCGUUCGUCUAGUGGCCUAGGACGCUGGCCUCUCACGCCGGUAACACGGGUUCGAAUCCCGUACGGGGUACAA
rnacentral:tRNA from 2 species